rnacentral:miRNA from 8 species
CCCAUGGAGAAGCUGUUACCUG